rnacentral:rRNA from 1 species
GACGAACGCUGGCGGCGUGCCUAAUACAUGCAAGUCGAACGCUUCUUUCCUCCCGAGUGCUUGCACUCAAUUGGAAAGAGGAGUGGCGGACGGGUGAGUAACACGUGGGUAACCUACCCAUCAGAGGGGGAUAACACUUGGAAACAGGUGCUAAUACCGCAUAACAGUUUAUGCCGCAUGGCAUAAGAGUGAAAGGCGCUUUCGGGUGUCGCUGAUGGAUGGACCCGCGGUGCAUUAGCUAAUUGGUGAGGUAACGGCUCACCAAGGCCACGAUGCAUAGCCGACCUGAGAGGGUGAUCGGCCACACUGGGACUGAGACACGGCCCAGACUCCUACGGGAGGCAGCAGUAGGGAAUCUUCGGCAAUGGACGAAAGUCUGACCGAGCAACGCCGCGUGAGUGAAGAAGGUUUUCGGAUCGUAAAACUCUGUUGUUAGAGAAGAACAAGGACGUUAGUAACUGAACGUCCCCUGACGGUAUCUAACCAGAAAGCCACGGCUAACUACGUG